UUGCACUUCUCCACUUUCCGAGGCAGC
rnacentral:misc_RNA from 1 species